GACGAACGCUGGCGGCGUGCCUAAUACAUGCAAGUUGAGCGCUCAAGGUUGGUACUUGUACCAACUGGAUGAGCAGCGAACGGGUGAGUAACGCGUGGGGAAUCUGCCUUUGAGCGGGGGACAACAUUUGGAAACGAAUGCUAAUACCGCAUAAAAACUUUAAACACAAGUUUUAAGUUUGAAAGAUGCAAUUGCAUCACUCAAAGAUGAUCCCGCGUUGUAUUAGCUAGUUUGUGAGGUAAAGGCUCACCAAGGCGAAGAUACAUAGCCGGACUGAGAGGGGGAUCGGGCAAAUGGGGAAUGGGGCAAGGGCCAAAACUCUAAGGGAGGGAAGAGUAGGGGAUCUUCGGGCAUGGGGGAAAAUCUGACCGAGGAACCGCGCGUGAGGGAAGGAGGUUUUCGGGUCGUAAAACUCUGUUGGUAGGGAAGAACCUUGGUGAGAGGGGAAAGCUCAUCAAGUGACGGUAACUAACCAGAAAGGGACGGCUAACUACGUG
rnacentral:rRNA from 1 species